UUGAUGUGUAGGAUAGGUGGGAGGCUUAGAAGUGUGGACGCCAGUCUGCAUGGAGCCGACCUUGAAAUACCACCCUUUAAUGUUUGAUGUUCUAACGUUGACCCGUAAUCCGGGUUGCGGACAGUGUCUGGUGGGUAGUUUGACUGGGGCGGUCUCCUCCUAAAGAGUAACGGAGGAGCACGAAGGUUGGCUAAUCCUGGUCGGACAUCAGGAGGUUAGUGCAAUGGCAUAAGCCAGCUUGACUGCGAGCGUGACGGCGCGAGCAGGUGCGAAAGCAGGUCAUAGUGAUCCGGUGGUUCUGAAUGGAAGGGCCAUCGCUCAACGGAUAAAAGGUACUCCGGGGAUAACAGGCUGAUACCGCCCAAGAGUUCAUAUCGACGGCGGUGUUUGGCACCUCGAUGUCGGCUCAUCACAUCCUGGGGCUGAAGUAGGUCCCAAGGGUAUGGCUGUUCGCCAUUUAAAGUGGUACGCGAGCUGGGUUUAGAACGUCGUGAGACAGUUCGGUCCCUAUCUGCCGUGGGCGCUGGAGAACUGAGGGGGGCUGCUCCUAGUACGAGAGGACCGGAGUGGACGCAUCACUGGUGUUCGGGUUGUCAUGCCAAUGGCACUGCCCGGUAGCUAAAUGCGGAAGAGAUAAGUGCUGAAAGCAUCUAAGCACGAAACUUGCCCCGAGAUGAGUUCUCCCUGACCCUUUAAGGGUCCUGAAGGAACGUUGAAGACGACGACGUUGAUAGGCCGGGUGUGUAAGCGCAGCGAUGCGUUGAGCUAACCGGUACUAAUGAACCGUGAGGCUUAACCUU
rnacentral:rRNA from 1 species